rnacentral:rRNA from 1 species
GUGGGUAGUUUGACUGGGGCGGUCUCCUCCUAAAGAGUAACGGAGGAGCACGAAGGUUGGCUAAUCCUGGUCGGACAUCAGGAGGUUAGUGCAAUGGCAUAAGCCAGCUUGACUGCGAGCGUGACGGCGCGAGCAGGUGCGAAAGCAGGUCAUAGUGAUCCGGUGGUUCUGAAUGGAAGGGCCAUCGCUCAACGGAUAAAAGGUACUCCGGGGAUAACAGGCUGAUACCGCCCAAGAGUUCAUAUCGACGGCGGUGUUUGGCACCUCGAUGUCGGCUCAUCACAUCCUGGGGCUGAAGUAGGUCCCAAGGGUAUGGCUGUUCGCCAUUUAAAGUGGUACGCGAGCUGGGUUUAGAACGUCGUGAGACAGUUCGGUCCCUAUCUGCCGUGGGCGCUGGAGAACUGAGGGGGGCUGCUCCUAGUACGAGAGGACCGGAGUGGACGCAUCACUGGUGUUCGGGUUGUCAUGCCAAUGGCACUGCCCGGUAGCUAAAUGCGGAAGAGAUAAGUGCUGAAAGCAUCUAAGCACGAAACUUGCCCCGAGAUGAGUUCUCCCUGAGACUUAAAGUCUCCUGAAGGAACGUUGAAGACGACGACGUUGAUAGGCCGGGUGUGUAAGCGCAGCGAUGCGUUGAGCUAACCGGUACUAAUGAACCGUGAGGCUUAACCUUACAACGCCGAAGCUGUU